rnacentral:misc_RNA from 1 species
GAUGAAGAACGCAGCGAAAUGCGAUAAGUAGUGUGAAUUGCAGAAUUCAGUGAAUCAUCGAAUCUUUGAACGCACAUUGCGCCCCUCGGUAUUCUGUUGGGCAUGCCUGUCCGAGCGUCAUUUCAACCCUCAGGGCCCGUUCGCGGGAACUGGUGUUGGGGAUCGGCCUCCCCCCGGAGGCCGGCCCCGAAAUGCAGUGGCGGCUCUACCGCGAUCUCCUCUGUGUAGUAGCGAUACCUCGCAGCUGGAUAGUGGUGGUGCCACGCCGUAAAAUCCCAACUUUACCAAGGUUGACCUCGGAUCAGGUAGGAAUACCCGCUGAACUUAAGCAUAUCAAUAAGCGGAGGA